rnacentral:rRNA from 1 species
UACGUAGGGGGCUAGCGUUAUCCGGAAUUACUGGGCGUAAAGGGUGCGUAGGUGGUUUCUUAAGUCAGAGGUGAAAGGCUACGGCUCAACCGUAGUAAGCCUUUGAAACUGGGAAACUUGAGUGCAGGAGAGGAGAGUGGAAUUCCUAGUGUAGCGGUGAAAUGCGCAGAUAUUAGGAGGAACACCAGUUGCGAAGGCGGCUCUCUGGACUGUAACUGACACUGAGGCACGAAAGCGUGGGGAGCAAACAGG